AGGAGAUGUUUGUGAUUCCUUGGAGUCGGUAGAAAACAUGGAGGUCGUGCUAUGCAUCACUUGUCAAGGAUUUAUGUUAUGCUAUUGAGGUUUGCAAGAAUGGAAAUAUGGUAGGCGACGAUUGGAAGGGCUGUGUUGGUCUUUCUAUGAAUCUUAUUGGACUGCACAUUGCUGCUGACAAGAAUGAUGCAGCAGUUGAGGUUGCUCAGCAGCUUCUCAAUUCAUCACCAAACAUUGCAGAUUCCUGGCUAUGUGUUGCUAACAUGUGGUGUGACAUGAAUUCUUCUACUAAUUAAAGCAAUGGAGACGUACAACAGUGCAAUCGUUUCUUGUCCAUUUUCUCCUGUCCUCUAUCAUAUUUGGUGCAGUUGCAA